UAAUAGAUUGCUUCCUUCUUGUUUGAAUAAUGUGUUUUUGUGACUCUUUGUCUGAAUACCCCAAGUUAAAUUGUCUUUUAGAAUUUCCCAGGUGACUGCUUGUCUCCUACAGAAAAGGAGCAUAAGAUAUUUAAGGCUGUGAUUAAUACAACAACAACAACCCAGUAUAAUCCCACUUAGUGUGGUCUGGGGAGAGACUGUUUCCCAAUAGACUACCGGCAUCCUUCCCUCCAAGAACUUCCCACCUUGCUCUUGGGAAGACUCGAACUUACAACCUCUCGGCUGGAAGUGGGGGUUGCUUACCAUCAGAGCAACCCCUCUUGUCUAAGGCUGUGAUUAAUACUUAAACAAAUUAUUGCGAGACAAAAUAGAAAAUUCUUAAAGCAAAUUCAGUGUGCAGCCUUGACGGGAUGUCUUGGUAUCUCAGAUUGUCGAUCGAAUAUUGAAUUUUUGAGUAGUUUGUCGGGUUUAGAGGAGGAUGGUGUUGGUAUUAGCAUUGGGCGAUCUUCACAUCCCGCAUAGGGCUACUGGUCUUCCCGCUAGGUUUAAAUCUAUGCGUGUUCCUGAAAGAUUCAUCAUAUCAUAUGUAAUGGUAGCCUUUGCAUUAAAGUGAGCCUUUCUUAAUAUUAUUAUAGUGUUCCUGGAAAGUUCCAACAUAUCACUAGGUAAUAAAUGGACUUAAUUAACAGAAAAUUUAGAAGUUGUUGAAAGGGAGUGAUGCGUCUUGGGCAGAGUAGAUGCUUCUCUAAUAUCUCUACAUGUUUGUUCCAAGUUUAGAACCUCCUUGAAUCUGCGAAAAGAUGAGUUUUCUCAAAAGCUAAACCAUAAAAAUGAAUAGAUAACUUCUAUUCUAUGCCAUAGUCCAGAGAGUAAUUUCAUAUGGUAUGUGAUAAAAUCAUAUUUCACAUUAUUAAAUCACUAAAAUGGAUAUCCUUCAUGGAUUCUGCAUAUUAGUUAUCACUUAGAAAGGUUAUUCUAUGUUGUUAAAUGCUAUGUUAAGGUGUUAUUACACAGCUCGUCGACUCCUGUUUACGCCUCAAUCGCGUGUUGAUCUUUUGACGAAAGAGAACGAAGACAUGAGAAGAAUCGUCUGAGAGGGUUAGGCAACAACAUUUUUUUCAAUAUAUUUUAGUUUGUAGCUGUCAGCUGAGACCCUUAUAUCACAAUUCUGUAAUCUUAUACUAUCUUCAGGAAGAGGAACAUGGUAAAGAGAUAGUUGAGCUUUUUAUGGAACUUAUGUAACAUAUCUGUAGUCUUUGCUGUAACCUUGACCAAAUGUGCCAUUUAGCAAUCUGCAGAAUUUUUUUAUCUGUUGCAUUGGUUUUUAUUGAAGUUAAUCAGGGCUCAAUUUUUGGCUCAAAAUCUUGCUUGAACUCUCAAUACUCUUUAGCAAAAACAAAUAUAGUAUUAGAACGAUAAUGAAGUGGUAAUCGGAAAUUUGUAGUUCAAAAGGCAUAAAUAUGAAAAGAGAACCUGUGGCAUCAUGAGAGUUUUUGGAUAAAAUGUAGACUUGAUAUUUGAUUCAAAUAUCACAAUGAUAUAAAGGGGGAUGAAGAAGAAAAUAUACCUUUGUCGCUUGCUGUUGAAAUCAAUUUAGUAGUAGAACAGUUAUGGUCUAUAGGUGUUACUUCCACCAACACAGCCUUUAUAUGUGCAACAUUUUUUUAUGUGUUUUCCAUGGUUGUCUAAAUUUGAAAUAGGUCCAGGGUUUCACUUGAACAUUUAUGUGUUAAUUUAAGGCAUAUCUCUGGAUUGUUCUUGUUAAUACUGCAUCAAACAAAAAUGAACAGACUCAUCUCC
rnacentral:lncRNA from 1 species